UACGUAGGGUGCGAGCGUUAAUCGGAAUUACUGGGCGUAAAGCGUGCGCAGGCGGUUUUGUAAGCCAGAUGUGAAAUCCCCGGGCUUAACCUGGGAAUGGCAUUUGGGACUGCAAGGCUGGAGUGCGGCAGAGGAGACUGGAAUUCCUGGUGUAGCAGUGAAAUGCGUAGAUAUGCGGAGGAACACCGAUGGCGAAGGCAAUCCCCUGGACCUGUACUGACGCUCAUGCACGAAAGCGUGGGGAGCAAACAGG
rnacentral:rRNA from 1 species